GACGAACGCUGGCGGCAUGCCUAACACAUGCAAGUCUAGGGGUAGCAAUACCACUGGCGCACGGGUGAGUAACACGUAGGUUAUCUGCCCCCAUCACAGACAUAACCCCGGGAAACCGGGGCUAAUAUCUGAUGAGGUCGCGAGAUCAAAGCUUCGGCGGAUGGGGAUGAGCCUGCGGCUGAUUAGCUAGUUGGUGAGGUAAUGGCUCACCAAGGCGACGAUCAGUAGCUGGUCUGAGAGGACGAACAGCCACACUGGAACUGAGACACGGUCCAGACUCCUACGGGAGGCAGCAGUAAGGAAUAUUGGUCAAUGGGAGCAAUCCUGAACCAGCAAUGCCGCGUGUGGGAUGACAGGGCUUCGCCUUGUAAACCACUGUCGGACGGGACGAAAGGAGGCCUCGGGGCCUCUGGGACGGUACCGUCAAAGGAAGGGUCGGCUAACUACGUGCCAGCAGCCG
rnacentral:rRNA from 1 species